rnacentral:rRNA from 1 species
ACGGGGUGCAGCAGGCGCGAAACCUUUACACUGCACGACAGUGCGAUAGGGGGAUCCCAAGUGCACAGGCAUAGCGCCUGUGCUUUUCGGUACCCUAAGGCGGUACCAGAAUAAGGGCUGGGCAAGACCGGUGCCAGCCGCCGCGGUAAUACCGGCAGCCCAAGUGAUGGCCGAUCUUAUUGGGCCUAAAGCGUCCGUAGCUGGCCACGCAAGUCCAUCGGGAAAUCCACCUGCCCAACAGGUGGGCGCCCGGUAGAAACUGCGUGGCUUGGGACCGGAAGGCGCGACGGGUACGUCCGGGGUAGGAGUGAAAUCCCGUAAUCCUGGACGGACCGCCGAUGGCGAAAGCACGUCGCGAGAACGGAUCCGACAGUGAGGGACGAAAGCCAGGGUCUCGAACCGGAUUAGAUACCCGGGUAGUCCUGGCCGUAAACAAUGCCUGCUAGGUGUGGCUCCCACUACGAGUGGGUGCUGUGCCGUAGGGAAGCCGCUAAGCAGGCCGCCUGGGNAGUACGUCCGCAAGGAUGAAACUUAAAGGAA